rnacentral:lncRNA from 1 species
GGGGGGGGGGGUGAGGGCAGCCCCGCAAGUCCUCAUGAACUGUGCCACAUUCAUGUGCCCGUAGGGUUCUGACCGGUGCCAGCAAUGGUGGAUGUGGUGGCUGCAAGUGGUGGCAUCAAAGUCAGGUGCUGAGAGGCAGGCAGGCAGGCACAGGAGCCCUCUGUGCAGGCCACGUUGCUCCCAGCAGCAAGCAUCACGAUGGAAGGGCAAUCCCAUCCUGCCCCAUCCCAUCCAGCCAGGAAAGACCCGGCCUUUGUUGCUGCGCAGUCUGUGCCCCUCUCUUCACAUGGACUCUGCCUCUGGUACCACAAGCUCUGUGGGGAAACCCGGCAGACUUCCCAGACAGGACCAGCGCCCGCAGGUUCUGGUGGCACGCGGGAUCCCCUGGAUGCUCAGUCAGCGUCCUAGGCUAGGCGGUGGAGUUGAAGACCUGCCACCUGAGAUCUCUAACUGCACAAAGCCACCAGUUAAAGGGAUGGUCUUCCAGGAGGGCCUCGUUCAAACAGAGGAGAGAAAACGCUGGUGGGACUACAAGACCAAGAGGCUUUUUUGGCGUACGCGCUCCCCAGCACUUCCCAAAGUGCACAGGAAAGCAGGAGCAGCUGCAAGACCAUCCCGAGGACCAGCUUUGAGCCUGGGGAGAAAAGCAGACAGCAAAACUGAAACCCGCCAGCCUUUCAACUCUGGCUUCAGUGAGAAGAGGAGCACAGAGAAAUCGGAAAUGCUCACUAUGGAAAGUCUCUACUCGCAGCUCCUGGUGUCCCUAAAACGGCCCAACACUAAGAACGAUUGCUACAAGUCAGGUGGCGGAACUGAAGAGCAACCGCCUGUAACCUCUUCCUGCACGCUGCCACCAGUGAAAGGGACGAACACGCAUGAGAACAUCCUUCAAACAGAGGAGGAGAAAUGCUGGUGGAAGAGCAAGGCCAAGAGGCCUUCUGAGUAUUGUAUUGCCUCCCCAGCACUUCCCCGAGUCUAGAUGGAAGCCUGAGCAGCUGCAGGACCAACACCAGGAGCAGCUUCAGGCCUGGAGAAAAGGAGACCACAGAACUGAAACCUGCCAGUGCCUAGACUCUGCCUUCAUUGUUAUGGUUUUAUUGUUGACAUAUUAAUAGAGAACUAAGAUCAUCAUUUGCAUCAUACCAUUUCAGAUUGAGAUCUUUCAGAUUUUUAAAAAGUUAAUUUAAUAAAAGUCAUGCUACCCU